rnacentral:rRNA from 1 species
UACGUAGGGUGCGAGCGUUGUCCGGAAUUAUUGGGCGUAAAGGGCUCGUAGGCGGUCUGUUGCGUCGGGAGUGAAAACUCAGGGCUUAACCCUGGGCCUGCUUCCGAUACGGGCAGACUAGAGGUAUGCAGGGGAGAACGGAAUUCCUGGUGUAGCGGUGAAAUGCGCAGAUAUCAGGAGGAACACCGGUGGCGAAGGCGGUUCUCUGGGCAUUACCUGACGCUGAGGAGCGAAAGCGUGGGGAGCAAACAGG